rnacentral:lncRNA from 1 species
GGAAAUUUCAAAAGAAAUCAGAAAAAGAAAAUGAAAGUUGAAAGUGGGAAAACAGAAAAAAAGUCAGAGAAGGGAAUAUUUUGGGAAAAGAGAAAAACUAAAAUUAAAAAUAAAAAGUUGAUAACAUAUCCCUAAUUUCCCUCCAACCACUAACCCACUAACCAACCUUAUCCCACCAAAUUUGACACAUCAAUCCGCAUCCAACCACUUCAGAAUUUCACUUCCACCAAACCUCUAUCAACAGCUGACACCAAAAAAUAUCACCCAUGCUCACACAGGGAUUCGCUCACAAGACCUCAAAGCAAGCUAACACCUUACCACUCAGACCAGCAAGCUUAUUCUGAUAUGAGUUCUCUAAAGAUAAAAUAUAACUCAACCCACUAAAG